rnacentral:rRNA from 1 species
GCAAGUCGAACGAUGAAGCCCAGCUUGCUGGGUGGAUUAGUGGCGAACGGGUGAGGAACACGUGAAGAAUCUGCCUUCAACUCUGGGAUAACUCCGGGAAACCGGGGCUAAUACCGGAUAUGAGAUCUGCAGGCAUCUGCGGAUCUGGAAAGUUUUUCGGUUGAAGAUGACUUCGCGGCCUAUCAGCUUGUUGGUGAGGUAAAGGCUCACCAAGGCGACGACGGGUAGCCGGCCUGAGAGGGCGACCGGCCACACUGGGACUGAGACACGGCCCAGACUCCUACGGGAGGCAGCAGUGGGGAAUAUUGGGCAAUGGAGGGAACUCUGACCCAGCGACGCCGCGUGCGGGAUGAAGGCCUUCGGGUUGUAAACCGCUUUCAGCAGGGAAUAAGCGCAAGUGAAGGUACCUGCAGAAGAAGCACCGGCUAACUAUGUGCCAGCAGCCGCGGUAAUACAUAGGGUGCAAGCGUUGUCCGGAAUUAUUGGGCGUAAAGAGCUCGUAGGUGGUUAGUUACGUCGGAUGUGAAAAUCAGGGGCUCAACCCCUGACCUGCAUCCGAUACGGACUAGCUAGAGUUUGGUAGGGGAGACUGGAAUUCCUGGUGUAGCGGUGGAAUGCGCAGAUAUCAGGAGGAACACCGAUGGCGAAGGCAGGUCUCUGGGCCAAUACUGACACUGAGGAGCGAAAGCGUGGGGAGCGAACAGGAUUAGAUACCCUGGUAGUCCACGCCGUAAACGGUGGGCGCUAGUUGUGCGAACCUUCCACGGUUUGUGCGACGCAGCUAACGCAUUAAGCGCCCCGCCUGGGGAGUACGAUCGCAAGAUUAAAACUCAAAGGAAUUGACGGGGCCCCGCACAAGCAGCGGAGCAUGCGGCUUAAUUCGACGCAACGCGAAGAACCUUACCAAGGCUUGACAUAUACAGGAAUACGGCAGAGAUGUCGUAGCGGUAAAACGUCUGUAUA